rnacentral:rRNA from 1 species
GACGAACGCUGGCGGCGUGCUUAACACAUGCAAGUCGAACGGAAAGGCCCUGCUUUUGUGGGGUGCUCGAGUGGCGAACGGGUGAGUAACACGUGAGUAACCUGCCCUUGACUUUGGGAUAACUUCAGGAAACUGGGGCUAAUACCGGAUAGGAGCUCCUGCUUCAUGGUGGGGGUUGGAAAGUUUCGGCGGUUGGGGAUGGACUCGCGGCUUAUCAGCUUGUUGGUAGGGUAGUGGCUUACCAAGGCUUUGACGGGUAGCCGGCCUGAGAGGGUGACCGGCCACAUUGGGACUGAGAUACGGCCCAGACUCCUACGGGAGGCAGCAGUGGGGAAUAUUGCACAAUGGGCGGAAGCCUGAUGCAGCAACGCCGCGUGCGGGAUGACGGCCUUCGGGUUGUAAACCGCUUUCGCCUGUGACGAAGCGUGAGUGACGGUAAUGGGUAAAGAAGCACCGGCUAACUACGUG